GACGAACGCUGGCGGCGUGCUCAACACAUGCGAGUCGAACGGUGAAGCGCCUUCCUUUUUGGUGGGUGUGGAUGAGUGGCGAACGGGUGAGUAACACGUGAGUAACCUGCCCCCUUCUUCUGGAUAACCGCAUGAAAGUGUGGCUAAUACGGGAUAUUCUGGGUCUGUCGCAUGAUGGGUCUGGGAAAGAUAUUGUUUCGGUGGGGGAUGGGCUCGCGGCCUAUCAGCUUGUUGGUGGGGUGAUGGCCUACCAAGGCGGUGACGGGUAGCCGGCCUGAGAGGGUGGACGGUCACACUGGGACUGAGACACGGCCCAGACUCCUACGGGAGGCAGCAGUGGGGAAUAUUGCACAAUGGGCGCAAGCCUGAUGCAGCGACGCCGCGUGAGGGAUGGAGGCCUUCGGGUUGUGAACCUCUUUCGCCAGUGAAGCAGGCCUGCCUCGUUUGUGGGUGGGUUGACGGUAGCUGGAUAAGAAGCGCCGGCUAACUACGU
rnacentral:rRNA from 1 species